GCUUAGAGUUUGAUCCUGGCUCAGGACGAACGCUGGCGGCGUGCCUAACACAUGCAAGUCAAGGGAUCUUCGGAUCACUGGCGCACGGGUGAGUAACGCGUAGAUAAUCUGCCCCUAUCUCCGGAAUAACUUCGAGAAAUUGAAGCUAAAAACGGAUGAGGCCGCAAGGUCAAAGGCAACGGAUAGGGAUGAGUCUGCGUCUGAUUAGCUAGUUGGCGGGGUAAUUGCCCACCAAGGCGACGAUCAGUAGCUGGUCUGAGAGGACGAUCAGCCACACUGGAACUGAGACACGGUCCAGACUCCUACGGGAGGCAGCAGUGAGGAAUUUUGCACAAUGGGGGAAACCCUGAUGCAGCGACGCCGCGUGUACGAUGAAGGGGCUUUGCCCUGUAAAGUACUGUCAGAUAGGAAGAAAAGCCCGCUCGGUGGGCUGGGACUGUACUAUCAGAGGAAGGACCGGCUAACUACGUGCCAGCAGCCGCGGUAAUACGUAGGGUCCAAGCGUUGUCCGGAAUUACUGGGUAUAAAGGGUGCGCAGGCGGACUUGUGCGUCGGGGGUUAAAGACCAGAGCUUAACUUUGGGAGUGCCCUCGAUACGGCAAGUCUUGAGUGUGAGAGAGGAUGGUAGAAUUCCUGGUGUAGCGGUGAAAUGCGUAGAUAUCAGGAGGAAUACCGGUGGCGAAGGCGGCCAUCUGGCUCAUUACUGACGCUCAGGCACGAAAGCGUGGGGAGUAAACAGGAUUAGAUACCCUGGUAAUCCACGCCCUAAACGAUGCAUGCUUGGUGUUAGCCCUAUUUUGGUCUAGUGCCGGAGGAAACCCGUUAAGCAUGCCACCUGGGGAGUACGAUCGCAAGGUUGAAACUCAAAGGAAUUGACGGGGGCCCGCACAAGCGGUGGAUUAUGUGGUUUAAUUCG
rnacentral:rRNA from 1 species